AGUAUGAACUUGCUGUCUGAAGAGAAAAUAUUUCCCUUCCUAAAGGAAGUUUUAUGCCAUGCUGAAGUAGCAGCUGUGCAUGUAUAAAGAUCUUCGUGGGAGCUAUAAAAUGCAUUUGGCUGCUUUUUCAUGCUCCAGAAACAUUCUGAGAGAAUGGACUGAGUUCCUUGUACGGACAAAGAGGCUCAAC